rnacentral:rRNA from 1 species
UACGAAGGGGGCUAGCGUUGCUCGGAAUCACUGGGCGUAAAGCGCACGUAGGCGGAUCUUUAAGUCAGGGGUGAAAUCCUGGAGCUCAACUCCAGAACUGCCUUUGAUACUGGGGAUCUCGAGUCCGGGAGAGGUGAGUGGAACUCCGAGUGUAGAGGUGAAAUUCGUAGAUAUUCGGAAGAACACCAGUGGCGAAGGGCGGCUCACUGGCCCGGUACUGACGCUGAGGUGCGGAAAGCGUGGGGAGCAAAC